GAAAUCCAUUGCGCUUUUAUUGUAUGAGGUGUCACAAUGAAUGUGGUUGCAGCUUUUAGCAACGAGUUUUGCGUUAUUAUGUACCAACAGUCACGAUAUAAAUAUGAAUCAUUGUUGGCGUUAACAUCGAAACCACCGACACAUUUUCCAUGUUGUUGAAAUUUACAUACACCCCUAUCAUGCAUUUCGAUUACGUUGCCGCUCUACGCUCCGCCGGAGUCAAAAGUAGGUAUCAUGCGUUGCAAUUGGAUUGAAAGAAGAAGAGGAAGAGCUAUAACUCUUUCGAAAUCAGCUGUUUGCUUUGAAAUAUGUGAAACUGGAACAUAGCAAAGCAAAAAUGCGCAAAUUACUGCUGUUCAAAGAAAAUAAAUAAAAGUAAAAUUUUUAUAUUGUUAUUAUUUUUAUUAAACGUAAGUAUGGAAUCUUUAUCCGCGGAGAUAUUACUGGUUGAGGAGGAGAGCAGCGCAUCUCAGAAUGCUGGCGUGAGAAUUGAAAGAAGAAGAUUACAAGAUAUGUGCGAUCGCUCCAGAUGAAUGACGGGCUAUUCAAAACAAACUUUCGUCUGCAUAAGGACGCAUUCAAGUAUGUCCUAGAUACGUUUGCGGAAGAAACGACGGCAAGUACUUUGUCCUCGUUAUCUCCGCUUAACAUUGUAGUAUCCGCUUUAAGAUUUUUUGCGGAAGGCAGUUACCAGCAUGGAGUUGGCGCAGACCACAAUGUUGGAAUGGCACAGUCAACCGUGUCAAAGUGGCUGUGAAAUUUUCUCAAAAUAAUGCAGCAAGAGCUAUGCCGAGAGUGGAUAAAACAAGAUUUUCUUACGAAAGCUGGUUUCCCAGGUGUUAUCAUGUGCGUUGAUGGUUCGCACAUAAAGCUAAUCAAGCCAUCCGAUGAACCUUUUCCUUAUUAUAAUAGAAAAAGAUUUUAUAGCAUCAAUGCUAUGGUGGUGUGCGUUCACAAAUUACGAAUAAGAAGCAUUGACCCAUUACAACCUUGGCUAAUGACUCCGUAUCGUUCCGUAAGUCAAGACAGCCGACAAAGUAAUUAUAACAUAAAGCACUCCAAAACUAGAAAUAUUAUAGAGCGAACGAUCGGUGUUUUAAAGAACCGCUUUCGAUGUUUGUUGGGAGCUCGAGAGCUGCAUUACUCGCCUCAAAAAGCGAGUCAAAUUAUAAAUGUUGCUUGUGCACUACACAAUAUUUGCAUUUUCUACAAAGUAGAAGAUUUGAACCCGAUAGAAUUUGAUAAUG